GACGAACGCUGGCGGCGUGCUUAACACAUGCAAGUCGAACGGAAAGGCCCCUUCGGGGGUACUCGAGUGGCGCACGGGUGAGUAACACGUGAGUAACCUGCCCUUGACUUCGGGAUAACUUCAGGAAACUGGGGCUAAUACCGGAUAGGAAUCCUUGCUGCAUGGUGGGGGUUGGAAAGCUUCGGCGGUUUUGGAUGGACUCGCGGCUUAUCAGCUUGUUGGUGGGGUAGUGGCUUACCAAGGCCUUGACGGGUAGCCGGCCUGAGAGGGCGACCGGCCACAUUGGGACUGAGAUACGGCCCAGACUCCUACGGGAGGCAGCAGUGGGGAAUAUUGCACAAUGGGCGGAAGCCUGAUGCAGCAACGCCGCGUGCGGGAUGACGGCCUUCGGGUUGUAAACCGCUUUCAGCAGGGGCGAAGCUUGUGGUGACGGUACCUGCAGAAGAAGCACCGGCUAACUACGUG
rnacentral:rRNA from 1 species